UUCCUCAAAAAGAAAUAAAGAAAGAAAUGAAGGAAGGAAGGAAGGAAGAAAAAGAAAGAAAUUCCUUGCUGUCUCCUCACCCCUUGGAUCCUUUUAGGGGGAUGUUUUAAGAAUUACUUGUAUCCAGUGUUUAUAGCUGUUUUUGAAAGCACGAAGGUUGGUCUGAAGUAACCUCGGCCCACCGUUACAGAAACUGGAGGCUGGAGGAUGUUUUAGCUGAUGUAUCCCUCCAUUCUUGUUAAAUGGGUAGCCCAUUUCAUUUGCACUAUUUCUGCUGAAAGAGAAAAGACUUUCUCUCUGGCCAGUGGCUGUACACAGGUCCAAAGGGUGGCGGGCACUCUAGUUUAUUUAGCAAAACUGUAUUUCAGGCCAAACUUUAUUCAUGCAGACCACUGUCAGGGCCACUUUAGGGCUUGUUGAGGUGGAAGCACAUAUGGACAUCUUCUGAUAGCCUAUGUGUACAGAGUGUUCUUAUUACCGAUUUCCCAGAGCUGCCUUACGGUCAGGCAUAAAGACUAUCACUCAUAAAUUCAAGAAUUUUAAAAGGAGUGAUUCUUGUCUAGACUCUCAGCUUUCAACUUACAUUUACUCAUUGCUAAUGGACCAAAUUCUGAAUGCCAGAGGCUUCUCGUUGGAACUUGACACUUAAUACAAAUUAGUAUUUGUGUAGUGUAGUGCCAUCAGUCUGUAGUCCCUCUUUGCUGUUAGAAACUGCGACAAACAAGUGAAGUGAAGGAACUGUUAUCUAGAGUGUGAAUUUGGUUCUGGAUAACUAAGCUCUGGUUAUUAUCCUACACAUAGUAAAUCCAUGAUGUUCCCACAUAAGGGUUCUGGAAAACAAACAAAAACUCUGUUCACUGUUCAUUUGACAUAGGCAGAGAGAGGCAUUUCUUCUACUCUUGGCAGCUAGAUCAAGCCUUGCGUUCUAUUACCGAGCAGAUGUUUUUUCCCAGGCCUUCCUUAUGUUUGUGCUACAGGCAUAGUAUCAGAAAGUUGUUCUGUAACUGAGGGUCUUGGGUGCUACUAGCUUCACUGUCUCACACAAGGACCUGAAGGAUGGGCCAGUUCCGCUGACCUAAGAUAGACAUUAAACCCUUUUAAAGGCCUUCAUGAGGUGUUCUUAGCUUUCAGAUAGUGUUCUGUGGACACCUGAGUUCUCCUGGGUUACUUGAACAUUAGGAGUUAUCCAUACCACUUGGAAUAAAUGUAAUACUAAACCUUUUACAAAGUCACUUACGUAUUUGUCAACAAUUGGUACUCCUUUGACUUUCAGUACACUACUGAGUAGGGAGGCAAAACCUUCUAAUUUCUGUGGCUUCUCACAUACCAAAAUUCAUAUAGAUUCAGCUGGCCAUGGAUUUCCAUUACCCAUCUGCAUCUUGGAUCAACCAGUGUCUUGGCUUUAGAGUGUUCAGACUAUAGAAGUCUGUUUUGGUCACUGUCAGGCCCAACGUUUUUUACCUGCAAGAUUGUCCUAUUUUUCUUACUUCUUAGAGCCUCAAUCUUAAAACUUUCAGAUUGAGUGGGGUGUUUUUCCCUUCCCUUCAGUUUUCCAGAGGUUGAUAAAUGUAUUGUGAUUUGCCCUUGCUCUAUGGUGUGUAAUUUUCAACUUUUUCUGGAGUCUCUUAGACUGCUAGAUUGUUUUUUGGUGUAAAAGGGGCUUCAUUCUGACUUUAGUGUGGCCUCUCCACUUGAAGAAGGGCACAUAGGUGGGUUGGUGGUUGACUCACUACUGGCAAUGGUUUUGGGGGGAGUUUUUCUUAAAGCACGCAUAUUCUAUGGUAAAUAAAACCCUCAUGUAUAGCCUGUCUCCUGGACUAGGUGGCCUGUGCCCUACACACAGUGCGUUUGUAUUAUCUUACUAUAUCCUACUCAGUCUCUUGGGAUAGAUUAGAUUUUGACUUUCCACAUAGCCAUUAAAUUCUUAUUUGUGUUUUUGGCUUAGCAGGCAUGGGAAUAAAUCACGUCUUUCAAUAUGAUGCAUAUUUUCCUUUGUAUCUUAUACAUUUUAUUGGCACAUAAAAAAUAGCAGUUGAUUAGAAGAGGUUGUUUUCAAAGAAUAAGAAAAAAAGUUGAGGUCAAUUAAACCAGUUAUGGUAGAGUAUCUUCCAUAUGCUCCUGACAGCCCUGGGAACUUUGGAAGAUUCAGUGACUAAUCAGUGGUAGAAUUGCAUUAACCAGAGCCCGAUUAAGGGCAUUCCAUUAUUGUUUAACCCCUUCUUGAAAACCUGAAUUCCUCUUUAGCCCUCUUUUUAGUUCCCACAACCCCUAGUCACCUUCCCAUUCUCCCCAUCCACCCAUCACCCUUCCUCACCAUCUUUGUCCACCCCAAAAUGAUUAUUUAUUCAAUCUUUAAUGAGUUCUUCUUGGACAAAGAAUGCAGGGAAAGCUGCUACUUUCAAGAAUCUUUGAUAUCUCCCUUUAGAUGUGGCUGCAGUCUAAUUCACAAAUAAUAUUCAUUUACACAGUAACAAGAGUUCUUGAAACCAUGAUCUUUGGAAUGCUGCCCCCCAGCAUCUUUAUUUUUUCUUGGUGAACCCCUCUCUAUUAAUUGGUUUUAAAGGUGGCAGCUGUCUUUUUUUUUAAAUGACCCAUCUGCAUUUUAUCUUCCCUUCUCUCUAGGCAAUGUGCCUACAGUGAUCGGUAGGGCCAACCUCAGCCAUGAUGUGAUCACCAACAGAGAAAGACCUCCUGGUUCCUUUGAUAUAGUGCACUUGAAGGAUGCAAAUGGCAACAGCUUUGCCAUGAAGAUUUACAACAUUUUGGUCAGUGGCAAAUUUGUGUCUUCCGACGAAGGUUGAGGAUUGCGGGAGUGAAUGAACAAAUGCAUGUGAAAGCCCUGUAAAACCAGGCGUACGAGGAGUACGCAGUUCUCCACUUCAAAAUUGGUAAUCAACCUUGGAUUUCCCUGCCCAGGAGAAAGGGCAUCCCAGGAUAACAUUGCUGAAGAAAGACCACGAGGCUGACCGCUAAACAGAACAGUGGCUAACUGCAGUAGGGUAGACCUUCUUUGGUGAGAUAAGCACUGAAUUCUAGUUUCCUAAUGUGGUUUCUUUCUUGCGGAUAAUAGUGGUAUUUACAGGACUUUGAAUUUUUAUCACGGUGCUCGCACCAUUUUGGGAACAUUAGGGAUACCACCUAUACUUCCUCUGCCCCUCCAGGAAUAAGCCUUUCUUCCAUUUUUGCUUCUCUCACACAUGCACCACCACCCUCUCCAAGGGCAGGUCACCAGCAAUCACAUCACAAAACUGUCCAAAAAAAGCCACAUGUGCCAUGUGUGGCUGCCUGGAGAGCUAGCAUUUGUGGAACCUCAGAGCCAUAAAAGAAAAAGACAUGUACUCAUGGGUUAGGGGGAGACUAAAAUAAUCAUUUUUACUUGCUUUAUCAGGGGCAUUCUUAAGUGAAACUUGCUUUUACUUAUUUACUUAGUUUUACUGAGAAUGUGUGAUAGUGAAGAUUACGAACAGGGACAGGAACAGUGCGGUGCUGCUAUCUCAAUCCUUCCUUGAUGGAGACCUCGAAGUCUCAGGACAACCUGCGCUCUCGCACCAUCAGGUGCAAGUAAGCAUCAGCAUGGUGGAAAGGGCAGAUAGCAUUUUAGUACUAUCAAAAUAAUUAUUUUACUUCCUUUAUCCCUGGAAAAGUUCUUGGGGUUACAGUAAUGGCAUUUUAGUAACAUCUAGAAGUUAAUAUUCUUCGAGUAGCUGCUGACAUCAUAGGGAGAAGAUCAAGAAGACAUCAUGUACAUCUCAGGACACAAUACAACUCAUGAAGAAAUUAUGUGUGUGUGUGUGUGUGUGUGUGAUUACAUAUAUGAGUAUGUUCUGAAUGCUAUCAGGCAGAUCCAAUAAUAUGUAAGAAAGAAGAGACACUUUAAAGGACACCAUAGCAUGGACAAACCGCACAGCAAUAAAAAUGCAUUGAACAACAUGGAAGAGUGUCACUGAAGUGUUUUGGAAAGAAGGAAAGUAAACUCAAAAUUAGUUCUAUUUCUACAGUACUUAAGAGCAUGCGAACUAAUCUGUGGUGCUCAGAAGAUCGAAUAGAGUUUAUCUUGCAGUGGGGAUGAGAACCACAUUGUGGAAGGAGACUUGGGAUACUAGAAGUGUUCUCAAUCUUAACUUUUGGUGAGUGGCCCAGUAUGUGACACUGGUAAAAAAUUCAUUAAGCUGUAAGCGUUUAGGUUUUAUAUUUUGUUGACUAUGUUAUGCCAUCAUUAAAAAAAUUAGUCUUUGGUGAAAGAAGAAAUGAGGUUGCCUCUCGGAGAAGGGCAUAAUGCAGGGUGGCUUAUGAUUAGUAAAUGGGUGUGUGGAAAUUAUUGAGCUCAUAUAGUCCCAACUUCGUCGGAGUCAUCAUUAUGCAGAUGUAUAUACUUUUGUCACAGCUGGAGCUGUGUUAUUAAAAGAAAAUGAUAACGCACAGAAUUGUUAGAAGAAGCAGGCUAAAUGCUAACAAGCCUGGAGCAGUGUCCAAAACCAUGAUAUAGAACCAUUCAGAGACAAAGUCUGUUCUUACUUUUGCUCCACAGAGCGCAGGAACCUAGUAUUUCACUUGCUGAUGUCAAAAUCAGUGGAACAUGUUGGCUAUGACAAGACACUCAGCUGCCCCUGACACCACCCAUGCAACACUGCAUAAUCCCGUGUUGAAGUCUCAAAUAUGUGUCUGAAUGUCAGUAUUUACAUCACAUGGCUUUGUCCUAAUUGUAAUGGAGGAUUGGUAUUAGUCUCUCAUUCCUACUUGGUAAGGUAGUAGGGCACAUCACAUUGCAAUUUCUCCAAAUACUUAAAUGAUGGUAAAUAAUCACGUCAUAUUUGCCCUGUAUAUUCUCUUUUUGAAUUUACAUGUCUCUAUGCAUAAAAGAAAACUUGCUAUUUUCAAGAGUGUAAAUGUAUGUAGUUUUAAAUUUGAAAAGUUUUCUUGGCAUAUGUUAACGUUAGAAUAUUAUUUUGGCAAAGACAAAUACAGUAGCAUAAAUGCUAGAUAAAAAUACACGUAUGGAAAACCAUUGUUGCUUUUUAUCGUUUGGUUUAUGUUUUAGACGAACCCAGGAGACUCAACAAUGAAAUACUGUUGAAAAUUAGUUUGGGGUAUAAGAAUAAACAACAAUCUUAAAAUAUUCAUGGACUCUGAUAAAGUAAAGUAUAUGGAAAAUACUCUUCUAAUUAGUUUAAUGUGUAAUUAAUGAUGUUGCAACUGUUCACCAGAUUAAUAUUUUUGUUGAGCAAAUCAAAGGUUGUAAUAGGACUUCAUGCAUUUAGUUCUAUUUAUCUUUUAAAAACCAAUAUUACGAUCUCUUGGUCUUUUGGUUGUUGUAUAAACAUAUUUACAUGUAUUUUGAUGUGAAAAUCAAGUCAGAGAAUUAUAGACACACAGCAUUAGAAAAUUAAAAAACUGGGGGGCCCGCCCGAUGGCGAGGCAGUUAAGUUUGCACGUUCCACUUCAGUGGCCCCAGGUUUGCCAGUUCAGAUCCCCGGAGCAGACG